rnacentral:rRNA from 1 species
GACGAACGCUGGCGGCGCGCCUAACACAUGCAAGUCGAACGAGCGAGAGAGAGCUUACUUUCUCGAGCGAGUGGCGAACGGGUGAGUAACGCGUGAGGAACCUGCCUCAAAGAGGGGGACAACAGUUGGAAACGACUGCUAAUACCGCAUAAGCCCACGGCUCGGCAUCGAGCAGAGGGAAAAGGAGCAAUCCGCUUUGAGAUGGCCUCGCGUCCGAUUAGCUAGUUGGUGAGGUAACGGCCCACCAAGGCGACGAUCGGUAGCCGGACUGAGAGGUUGAACGGCCACAUUGGGACUGAGACACGGCCCAGACUCCUACGGGAGGCAGCAGUGGGGAAUAUUGCACAAUGGGGGAAACCCUGAUGCAGCGACGCCGCGUGGAGGAAGAAGGUCUUCGGAUUGUAAACUCCUGUUGUUGAGGAAGAUAAUGACGGUACUCAACAAGGAAGUGACGGCUAACUACGUGCCAGCAGCCGCGGUAAAACGUAGGUCACAAGCGUUGUCCGGAAUUACUGGGUGUAAAGGGAGCGCAGGCGGGAAGACAAGUUGGAAGUGAAAUCCAUGGGCUCAACCCAUGAACUGCUUUCAAAACUGUUUUUCUUGAGUAGUGCAGAGGUAGGCGGAAUUCCCGGUGUAGCGGUGGAAUGCGUAGAUAUCGGGAGGAACACCAGUGGCGAAGGCGGCCUACUGGGCACCAACUGACGCUGAGGCUCGAAAGUGUGGGUAGCAAACAGGAUUAGAUACCCUGGUAGUCCACACUGUAAACGAUGAUUACUAGGUGUUGGAGGAUUGACCCCUUCAGUGCCGCAGUUAACACAAUAAGUAAUCCACCUGGGGAGUACGACCGCAAGGUUGAAACUCAAAGGAAUUGACGGGGGCCCGCACAAGCAGUGGAGUAUGUGGUUUAAUUCGACGCAACGCGAAGAACCUUACCAAGUCUUGACAUCCUGCGACGCACAUAGAAAUAUGUGUUUCCUUCGGGACGCAGAGACAGGUGGUGCAUGGUUGUCGUCAGCUCGUGUCGUGAGAUGUUGGGUUAAGUCCCGCAACGAGCGCAACCCUUAUGGUCAGUUACUACGCAAGAGGACUCUGGCCAGACUGCCGUUGACAAAACGGAGGAAGGUGGGGAUGACGUCAAAUCAUCAUGCCCCUUAUGACUUGGGCUACACACGUACUACAAUGGCGUUAAACAAAGAGAAGCAAGACCGCGAGGUGGAGCAAAACUCAGAAACAACGUCCCAGUUCGGACUGCAGGCUGCAACUCGCCUGCACGAAGUCGGAAUUGCUAGUAAUCGCAGAUCAGCAUGCUGCGGUGAAUACGUUCCCGGGCCU